rnacentral:rRNA from 1 species
CUACACAUGCAAGUCGAGGGGUAACGUAAGUGCUUGCACUUGACGACGACCGGCGCACGGGUGCGGAACGCGUAUGGAACCUACCUUUAUCAGGGGGAUAGCCCAUGGAAACGUGGAUUAAUACCCCAUAGUAUUAAAUCAUUGCAUGAUGAUUUAAUUAAAGAAUUUCGGAUAGAGAUGGCCAUGCGUAUCAUUAGCUAGUAGGCGAGGUAACGGCUCACCUAGGCGACGAUGAUUAGGGGUCCUGAGAGGGAGAUCCCCCACACUGGUACUGAGACACGGACCAGACUCCUACGGGAGGCAGCAGUGAGGAAUAUUGGGCAAUGGAGGCAACUCUGACCCAGCCAUGCCGCGUGCAGGAAGACGGCCCUAUGGGUUGUAAACUGCUUUUAUACAGGAAGAACACCACCCACGUGUGGGUGACUGACGGUACUGUAAGAAUAAGGACCGGCUAACUCCGUGCCAGCAGCCGCGGUAAUACGGAGGGUCCAAGCGUUAUCCGGAAUCAUUGGGUUUAAAGGGUCCGUAGGCGGGCUAAUAAGUCAGAGGUGAAAGUUUGCAGCUCAACUGUAAAAUUGCCUUUGAUACUGUUAGUCUUGAGUUAUAGUGAAGUGGUUAGAAUAAGUGGUGUAGCGGUGAAAUGCAUAGAUAUCACUUAGAAUACCGAUUGCGAAGGCAGAUCACUAACUGUAUACUGACGCUGAGGGACGAAAGCAUGGGUAGCGAACGGGAUUAGAUACCCUCGUAGUCCAUGCCGUAAACGAUGUGUGUUAGACGUUGGAAAUUUAUUUUCAGUGUCGCAGCGAAAGCGAUAAACACACCGCCUGGGGAGUACGACCGCAAGGUUAAAACUCAAAUGAAUUGACGGGGACCCGCACAAGUAGUGGAGCAUGUGGUUUAAUUCGAAGAU